GUGUUAUAUGAAUGAAGAGAAGUUUGGUACUCCCCUUGACCUGGCGAAGGAGGUCCCAUGACUUUACAGUUAAGGUAUCACCGCCAAUAUGUGUUCUCACGGGGGUUGCUGUUUCACCAUUCAGGUGGAUGGUAUUUU
rnacentral:snRNA from 1 species